rnacentral:rRNA from 1 species
CCAUGCAUGUCGAGUUCAUAUAUAAAUAGAAACUGCGUACGGCUCAUUAGAGCAGAUUUAAAUGAUUCCGGGUAUCCUAUUGGAUAACUGUGGUAAUUCUGGAGCUAAUACAUGCAACAAUGCUCAGUUUCGGCUGAGUGCAGUUAUUAGUACGAACCAAUCGCUUUCGGGCGUAGUUUGUUGACUCUGAAUACCUAGUUUAUCGGCGGUUCAUCCGCUGAAGUCCGGAAUUUUGUGUCUGCCCUAUCAACUAGAUGAUAGUCUAUUGGCCUAUCAUGGUUGUAACGGGUAACGGAGAAUCAGGGUUCGACUCCGGAGAGGGAGCCUUAGAAACGGCUACCACAUCCAAGGAAGGCAGCAGGCGCGUAACUUAUCCACUACUCUUUGUGAGAUAGUGACUGAACAUAAAAAGACUCAUCUUUCUAGAUGGGUUAUUUCAAUGAGU